UGCACGGUGGUGCAGUUGGUAGCACUGUUGAAUUGCAGCACAAAGGUCCUGGGUUCUACUCCCGGCCGGGGGUCUUUCUGCAU